rnacentral:tRNA from 1 species
GCCCGAAUGGCGGAAUUGGCAGACGCGACGGUCUCAAAAACCGUUAGGGAAACCUGUGUGGGUUCGAGUCCCACUUCGGGCACCA